ACAGAGUGGAUUUGGCAACGGUGAUCACCUUGACUUGCUGGACGAUUUGGAAGCAAAGGACGAUCACCAAUCGACCCCGUUUUCAACGGAGACGACGACCCUGGAAGCGGGAGCUCGGAGUUCAAACAAUGGCAGGUCACAGGGCACUGUUCAUUCAGAUCAGGGGCCAUCCACGUGUGACACAUCCGGGUCUCCAACAGGCGUCUGCUACAGUCCAAUUCCCCACCUAACCCCAACCCUAGAUUCAAUCCUCUCGCGCUGGUGGGCGGCGGCGGACGAUUUCAGAGGGGGUGGCGGGCUGGUUGGUGAGGGUGACGAGGGUGUUCAACAAUCGGAGAUGUCCGGCGACGGAUAGAGCGGUGCCAACUCCGGCAGACCGUGACAAGGGGGCCGCGGUCGAGGGCAGAGCGGCAAUUUCAACUCCGGUGGAAAUCCAGGCAACUCCGUCGUCAACAACUUCGGGAACAACGCUGGGUACAACAAUCAGCAGGGCUACAAAGACUACAACAACCGUGGAGAGCGAGGGAGUUUCCAGGGCUCCGGCCAGGCGGGGCGAGGGAGCAAUCCCUCUAACUCCUCUGGCGCAAGUGGCUCCGCAGUGCCGGCCACUUCGGCGGUGUCCUCUCCGACGCAGGUCGCCGCACAAGGGGCGUUGCAACGACAGGGGAAGGCAGUCAUGGGCCCUGGGAAGGUAAUGCCCUGUCAGAAAUGCAAUAGUGCUGAUCAUACUGCUCAGAACUGCAAGGAGAAGAUGUUAUGUGAUAUCUGUUGAAGAAUACCCAUGUUACUGAGAAAUGUGUCUAGCCAGUCCAACCAAAACCUGUGAUUCAGUUGGUUGGUUUUGCUGCUAAGGAUCUAGGAUGCUUGUAUGCUCAACAUACAAGGAAGAUUGGGCAAAACUCAUCUGCUAGUGCUAUCGCUCUGGUGACUAUUAAGAAAGGAUCCCCAUCUGCUUCUGAACUUGAGAUUGGCUUGGGGAAAUCAUUUCAGUUGGAUUGGGAAUGGAAGGUUAAGGAACUUGACACCAACAAAUUCCUGGUGAGACUGCCUUCAGUGGAACUGCUGGAGAGGCUCCAAAGUUUUGAUGAUUUCACUCUCAAAAAAACUGGGCUGUCAGUGACUGUUUCCAAAUGGACAUCAGCAUCUUUGGCUAAGGCCAAGUUACAUUCUAUGUGGAUCAAAAUCACUGGCAUUCCUGAUGAACUAAUGCACUACCAGGGCAUCUAUGAGGCUGGGUCCCCUCUUGGAGUGGUCCAAGAAGUUGACAUGGCUGCUCUGACUAAGUUCUCUCUAGCAAGGGUCAGAAUUGGGAUUAGAGACUCAGGCAACAUUCCUUUGGGGACUGAAGUGACAACUGAUCCUUACAUAUAUGAUGCUUUCUAUGAGGUGGAAAGUGUUGCUGAGGUAGGGGGUUGCUAGAUGAAGAUGGUCAAGUCAUUGGGGUUGCUAGGAAAGGAUCUGACACUGCUGACAAGGAUCCUAAGAAAAAUAAAGCUUAUGAAGUUGACAAAGAGGGCUUUUCUGAUAGUAAUCCUAUUGAGAUAGACAGUCCCUCCAUCAACAAGGGCACAGUUUUCUCUAGGGAAGAGGUGGCCAAAAUGACUCAGGCUGAAGUGGACAAACGCCUGGCUGCACGGCUGAGAGAGAUUGAGGAGAAAACAUUGCCGGCAGCCUUGGCCAAAAUCCAAGGUCUGGAGAUGCUAAAAGACAGAGACGUAGCUGAGGGAGUGACUGAUGAGGAGAUGGAACUGGAUAACAUUGGGGACAGAGAUUUAAAUGUGGAAAAUGAAAGGGAGUAUGAAGAGGUUGACUAUGAAUCUUCACAAGAUUUGCAAGACAGGGUUAAUAAAGCUUUCAAGGGAGAAGAUCCAAACUCAAAAGAAUGUUGUGGAUGAAAGCAAGAAGAAUAGGCAGGAAGACUUCAGGAGGAAGCUAAGGCCUCAGGGUGAUGGGACUAUGAUGGACAAAGCAAAGGAAUUGACCAACAAGAAAAAUCGCAACACCAAAGAAACCAAGAGUACUAAAGGCGCUGCAACACGGGACUAAGCUGCUGAGGCGCGUGGCGGGGGAGAUCUUUAAUCACUCAAGGGGCUGGACGCCGAUUGGAAGAAGGAUUGAAGUAUGAGUACCCCAGUUCAGCUUUCAGUCGCUCGGUGGACGUAUUGUCUGGGCACGAAGUCUAGCUCUUGAUCUUGUGAACUUUUCGCUACCUGUGUCAUGGGCAUGUUUGCCUGUACUGCCCUACACUUUCUGAAGCCGGUGGCUUCAACUAUUAGCAGCUGACUUCCGUCAGUCUGCCGUUUUUUCCUUUUCCUUUUGUUUUUCCUUUUAUUUGUAGCAACUAUCUGUGAUUUCAUUAAUGAAGCUGGGGGAGUUUCCCUUUGUUAAAAAAAAAGCAAGAUCUUCUCGGCUA